GAUCCUGGCUCAGGACGAACGCUGGCGGCGUGCCUAACACAUGCAAGUCGAACGGGGUUAUAUAAGAAGCUUGCUUUGAAUAUAACCAAGUGGCGGACGGGUGAGUAACGCGUGAGGACCUGUCUCCGGCAGGGGGACAACAUUUGGAAACGGAUGCUAAUACCGCAUAAGCCGAGAGGUGAAAGGAGCAAUCCGGCAGGAGAGGGGCUCGCGUUCUAUCAGCUAGUAGGCGGGGUAAAGGCCCACCUAGGCGAAG
rnacentral:rRNA from 1 species